AACGAACGUUAGCGGCGCGCCUAACACAUGCAAGUCGCACGAGAAAGGGCUUCGGCCCCGGUAAAGUGGCGCACGGGUGAGUAACACGUGGGUAAUCUGCCCUCGAGCUGGGGAUAACAUUCCGAAAGGAGUGCUAAUACCGAAUAAGACCACGACCUCGAAAGGGGAUGCGGUCAAAGCUGGCCUCUAUACAUAAGCUAGCACUUGAGGAUGAGCCCGCGGCGCAUCAGCUAGUUGGUGAGGUAAUGGCUCACCAAGGCUAAGACGCGUAGCUGGUCUGAGAGGAUGAUCAGCCACACUGGAACUGAGACACGGUCCAGACUCCUACGGGAGGCAGCAGUGGGGAAUCUUGCGCAAUGGGCGAAAGCCUGACGCAGCGACGCCGCGUGAGUGAUG
rnacentral:rRNA from 1 species